GAGUUUGAUCAUGGCUCAGGAUGAACGCUGGCGGCGUGCUUAACACAUGCAAGUCGAACGAACCUUCGGGUUAGUGGCGGACGGGUGAGUAACGCGCGAGAAUCUGCCCUCAGGAGGGGGAUAACGGCUGGAAACGGCCGCUAAUACCCCAUAUGCCGCGAGGUGAAAUGAAUUUCGCCUGAGGAUGAGCUCGCGUCUGAUUAGCUAGUUGGUGUAGGUAAUGGCUCACCAAGGCAUCGAUCAGUAGCUGGUUUGAGAGGAUGAUCAGCCACACUGGGACUGAGACACGGCCCAGACUCCUACGGGAGGCAGCAGUGGGGAAUUUUCCGCAACGGGCGCAAGCCUGACGGAGCAACGCCGCGUGAGGGAUGAAGGCCUCUGGGCUGUAAACCUCUUUUAUCAAGGAAGAAGAUCUGACGGUACUUGAUGAAUAAGCCACGGCUAAUUCCGUGCCAGCAGCCGCGGUAAUACGGGAGUGGCAAGCGUUAUCCGGAAUUAUUGGGCGUAAAGCGUCCGCAGGCGGCCCUUCAAGUCUGCUGUUAAAACGUGGAGCUUAACUCCAUCAUGGCAGUGGAAACUGUUGGGCUUGAGUGUGGUAGGGGCAGAGGGAAUUCCCGGUGUAGCGGUGAAAUGCGUAGAUACCGGGAAGAACACCAGUGGCGAAGGCGCUCUGCUGGGCCAUCACUGACGCUCAUGGACGAAAGCCAGGGGAGCGAAAGGGAUUAGAUACCCCUGUAGUCCUGGCCGUAAACGAUGAACACUAGGUGUCGGGGGAAUCGACCCCUUCGGUGUCGUAGCCAACGCGUUAAGUGUUCCGCCUGGGGAGUACGCACGCAAGUGUGAAACUCAAAGGAAUUGACGGGGGCCCGCACAAGCGGUGGAGUAUGUGGUUUAAUUCGAUGCAACGCGAAGAACCUUACCAGGGUUUGACAUCCUGCGAAUCUCUUGGAAACGAGAGAGUGCCUUCGGGAGCGCAGUGACAGGUGGUGCAUGGCUGUCGUCAGCUCGUGUCGUGAGAUGUUGGGUUAAGUCCCGCAACGAGCGCAACCCACGUCUUUAGUUGCCAGCAUUUAGUUGGGCACUCUAGAGAGACCGCCGGUGAUAAACCGGAGGAAGGUGUGGAUGACGUCAAGUCAUCAUGCCCCUUACAUCCUGGGCUACACACGUACUACAAUGCUACGGACAAAGGGCAGCAAGUUCGCGAGGACAAGCAAAUCCCAUAAACCGUGGCUCAGUUCAGAUCGUAGGCUGCAACUCGCCUACGUGAAGUAGGAAUCGCUAGUAAUCGCAGGUCAGCAUACUGCGGUGAAUACGUUCCCGGGCCUUGUACACACCGCCCGUCACACCAUGGAAGUUGGCCACGCCCGAAGCCGUUACUCCAACCCUUGUGGAGGAGGACGUCGAAGGUGGGGCUGAUGACUGGGGUGAAGUCGUAACAAGGUAACCCCAAGCGUUCACCCUGAGCCAGGAUCAAACUC
rnacentral:rRNA from 1 species